GUGCUGAUUUACAGAGAGAGCAGUAGUUUUUCAACCUUUUGUAUGAAAAUAGAAAGGUUAGUUAAUACAUGUACAUUGCAAUAUUUCAGCAUUCCAUAAAGUUUAUUGAUAUUUGGGUUGAUUCUGUAGUAUUUAGGAAUAUAUGCAUUUCUUAUUUUAAUAACAUCAGCAUUGUUACAAAGUGAUAUGUAAUGAUACUCAUCUCCAAGACCAGUUUUACAAAGCUUACAUUUCCUUUCAAUUUCUGGAAUUCUAUUCCAUCUCCCUGUUUCGAUCGGAAAUUUGAUAUUGCAAGUACGAAGUUUGCAAAUAUAAAGUCUAGGAACUUUUCUGAGUCUAAUUAGAUACGGUUCCAUACAAAAGUCAGUCUUAAAUUUUGAAUAAAACUUCCCCCUUGAUGAGUUAUCGAUAUCCGAAAACCAUUUUUGUAUGAACUGGUCAUGGAGUGUUUGUUUAACGUUAAAUUUUAAAAAAUUCAAAUUAACGUUUCCUUGUACCUGCCAUAUUUCACUGUUACCAGUUUCAUCAAAUACAGAUUUUACAUAAUUAAUCCACUUAAAAGAAUUAUUUCCAUUUUCACAUAAAUUAAACAUAAGCUUGUAGAGUUUUCCAGACAGUUUAUCAACAUUUGUUACAAGCUUAUACCAGAAACAAAUCAUUUUCAUCUUGAUACUAAUUUCGAUAGGAAAUCGGCCAAGUUCACCAUAGACCAUGAAAUUUGCGGUCGAUGACCUCACCCCAAGAAUUUUUUUUACAGAACUGUAAAUGUAUCUUCUCAAUAUUCAUCUUAUUUUCAUAUCCCCAGAUUUCGGAG
rnacentral:lncRNA from 1 species